GUGGCACCGUCGGGAGAGCGCCGCCUUUGCACGGCGGAGGUCAGGGGUUCGAUCCCCCUCGGCUCCA
rnacentral:tRNA from 1 species